rnacentral:rRNA from 1 species
UACGGAGGGUGCAAGCGUUAUCCGGAUUCACUGGGUUUAAAAGGUGUGUAGGCGGAUAUUUAAGUCAGUGGUGAAAUCUCCAGGCUCAACCUGGAAACUGCCAUUGAUACUAUUUAUCUUGAAUAUCGUUGAGGUAGGCGGAAUAUAUCAUGUAGCGGUGAAAUGCUUAGAUAUGAUAUAGAACACCGAUUGCGAAGGCAGCUUACUAAACGAAGAUUGACGCUGAGGCACGAAAGCGUGGGGAUCAAACAGG